rnacentral:lncRNA from 1 species
UUUCCAACCAAUUAAGGGCAAUGAGGUCGCCUAUCCAUUCUGGAAUUGUUGUGAGGUUAGGACAUUCCCAAAUCUCUAUUGAUUUCAAAGUACCCGAGAAAUGUUGAAGCCAAACUGGUAGCGACAUUAGCUUGUCAAGGUAGAAAGCUUUGAAAGUGGAUAAAUUCCCUGGGACUUCAAAUUGCAUUGCUUCUUCGUUAGAUAAAUCAAGCAGAGGGCAAUUCUCUAUAGAUAAAGACGCCGAGAAAUGUUGGAGCCAAACUGGUAGCGACAUUAGCUUGUCAAGGUAGAAAGCUUUGAAAGUUGAUAAAUUCCCCGGGACUUCAAAUUGAAUUGCUUCUUCGUUAGAUAAAUCAAGUAGAGGGCAAUUCUCUAUUACAUAAAGACUCAAGGGAAGUGAGAUGAGUUAGACAUGUGGAUAGAGA